GUUGUUUUUAAUGCCUCAGUUUUAUGGUCAGGGAAAGACGUAUCUGCGAUUUUAUCGCCUCCUGCAAUAAUAACAAUAAAACCAACCGUGAAAAUAGAUUCAAAUUCUUCGACAUUUUCCCAUUGCUACAGAAGUACAGUUAAUGUCGAUGGUGAAUUUCAAAUAGCAAAAGCGAUGUUUAACGUUCAUGCAUUCGGACUUAAUAUAUGGGAUGUCUUGAUAGCAAGCAAGUUUCAUCGACAAAUUGGUAUCUUACAAAAGAU